rnacentral:rRNA from 1 species
UACGUAGGCAGCGAGCGUUGUUCGGAGUUACUGGGCGUAAAGGGCGCGUAGGUGGUUCUGUAUGUCUACCGUGAAAGCAUACAGCUCAACUGUAUUUUGUCGGUAGAAACUGCAGGACUUGAGGCUGGGAGGGGCUGGUGGAAUUCCCUGUGUAGCGGUGAAAUGCGUAGAGAUGGGGGAGAACACUCGUGGCGAAGGCGGCCAGCUAGACCAGUUCUGACACUGAGGCGCGACAGCGUGGGGAGCAAACAGG